rnacentral:rRNA from 1 species
GCAGUCGAGGGGCAGCGGGGAGUGAGGCUUGCCUUACUUUGCCGGCGACCGGCGCACGGGUGAGUAACACGUAUGCAACCUACCCUUUACAGCGGGAUAACCGGAAGAAAUUUCGCCUAAUACCGCAUAUACUCCUUGGGAGGCAUCUUCCGAGGGGGGAAGAAUUUCGGUGAAGGAUGGGCAUGCGUCGCAUUAGUUAGUUGGCGGUGUAACGGACCACCAAGACGACGAUGCGUAGGGGUUCUGAGAGGAAGGUCCCCCACACUGGUACUGAGACACGGACCAGACUCCUACGGGAGGCAGCAGUGAGGAAUAUUGGUCAAUGGCCGAGAGGCUGAACCAGCCAAGUCGCGUGAGGGAAGAAUGUCCUAUGGAUUGUAAACCUCUUUUGUCAGGGAGCAAAGUCACCCACGUGUGGGUGUUGGAGAGUACCUGAAGAAAAAGCAUCGGCUAACUCCGUGCCAGCAGCCGCGGUAAUACGGAGGAUGCGAGCGUUAUCCGGAUUUAUUGGGUUUAAAGGGUGCGUAGGCGGGUUAUCAAGUCAGCGGUAAAAUCGUGGAGCUCAACUCCAUCCAGCCGUUGAAACUGAUGAUCUUGAGUGGGCGAGAAGUAUGCGGAAUGCGUGGUGUAGCGGUGAAAUGCAUAGAUAUCACGCAGAACUCCGAUUGCGAAGGCAGCAUACCGGCGCCCGACUGACGCUGAAGCACGAAAGCGUGGGUAUCGAACAGGAUUAGAUACCCUGGUAGUCCACGCAGUAAACGAUGAAUACUAAUUGUGUGCUCCGAAUGAGGAGUGCGUGAUACAGCGAAAGCGUUAAGUAUUCCACCUGGGGAGUACGCCGGCAACGGUGAAACUCAAAGGAAUUGACGGGGGCCCGCA